rnacentral:lncRNA from 1 species
CAGAGACAGAGAGAGACAGAGAGAGCCAACAAGGACCCACGUCCCUUCUGUUCUUGACUGUGGGUGGGAAGCUUCUUUGGAAUCAUGGACUACCACCUGCAGUUAUAAGACAAAUAGGUCCCCUGUCCCCUGUGCUGCUUUCUGUCAGGAUGUUUUGUUGUAGCAACAGGAAGGAUACUAGGAUAGAGCUCCUGUAGGUAUUUUGGCACUGUUUGGCCCACGAAGAAAACCAAAUCAAAAUAGAAACCAUGAGUAAAAUGUGCCUUGCAAGAGCCCCUAUUAUUUUCUUCAUGUCCCAAAUCCUUUCUUAGAGAACCCUGCUAUUCCUCCCCCCACACACAUUCCAACUCCAUACAGUCCUAGGCACCUGUGCCCUCCAUUCCUGUUCCCAGGUAACUUUAUCAAGUGUGAACAUCUAUCUAAGCUGACCAAUCAGAUUCUUUCUCCCAACACAGGAACUAAAUGAAUCAGGUGGGAUGGGAACAGGGUCACACAGUGUUAGGGCUGAUGUGGAUGCUCCAUCCUAUUCGCUGUUUUUGAGACACACUUCCAGUUGUAGCAAGCCAACGUGAGGAGGCCACAAGAAGCAUAAUGAUAAUAUUGACAGUGAGUGGGUUACUCACUGCUCAUAGGCCAACUCCAAGCUUAAGGUCACGGACCAGUUGUUCAUUGUUUUCUCUCCUGGUUCUGAGGGUAAGCUGGAGUUGGCGGGCUGAUUCUCAUUUGGGCUCUGUCCUGCUGUUGUACUCAGAUCAUGACUAGGGCUGGCGCUAUCUGAACUUGCAGCUCUCCUGCUUGGGUGGUAUCUAGCAGUCGACACUAUCUAGCAACUGAUGCUUAUUGGCCAAUGGUGGCUCUGGGCAAGGAACUCUCCUAGAGCUAUUUGCACAGCUAUUUCCUGUGUGGCUUGGAGUCCUGUUGCGUGUGCCUGGGUUCUAAGCGGAUGUGUUCCCAGGACAAGUGACUGAGGAGAAGGAAGCAAAAAUCACCAAGUCACCUCAAAGGCCAGAUCUUGAGCUAUCACCGUGUCACCUACCCUCCUGGGACAAGCAAAUCACAGGCCAGUGGAGAGCUCAUAGCCACUCACAGGUGAUUGGACGAGAGGUGACAAACCAACCGAUCUAGACCAGUCACAGAGCUCCAUCUUUGGCCAGAAGGGGAACAUCAGUUGCUCCUCCCGUUCUUUGCUCUGUCGGGCUCCUCCUGACAGCUUUUCCUUUUUUCUGUCAUUGCCGAACCUGGGCUAAAGUGAUCAGGAAGAAUGGUGGUUUGCAGGGAGAGAAGGAAUUGGACAAGCAGUAAUGAUUUCUAAUCAUAAUGGUUGCCAACCAUGCGCAGAGGCAGCUUCUAUCUCUUUUAGUCCUCGGAAGACUCCGUGACUCCCAUUUAUAGAUGAGAACGCUGAGAUGUGGAGAGAACAGAUGAGGAAACAUGCUUUAUUUUUGAACAGUAGAUGCUCAAACUAGAAGAGGUUGGAAUGAUAAACUCUCCUCUCAUGUUGCAUCUCCUAGAAGAAAGGCCAAGGAGCUAAAGAACCCUCCACCUGCAGGUGUCUUCCCAGGGGGCCUGGUCUAAUGACUCAGGUGGUGAAGGGAUUGCUGUGUGGGCAAGUGGACCCAAGUUUGGAUCACCAAGACUCAUAUCAAAGCCACACUGGUGACCUGUGUCUGUAACCCCAGCACUAUGGGGCCUGAAGUGCAAAGGACCUCUGGGUCUGGCUGACCAGUCAGUCUAGCUAAAUCUGCGAGGUCCAAACCCUGUCUCAAAAAAUAAAAUGGAAAGUGAUUGAGGAAGACACCAAGUGGUCUCUACAUUCAGUGUCUAUACAUGUGUGUGCACAUGCACACACAGAGAGACAAACACACGCAUACACACACACACACACACACACACACACACACACACACACACACACACACACACACAGAGUCAGAGUCAGAGUCAGAGACAGAUUCUUUCCAGAUUUUCACCCUCCUGCCCUCAGAAGGUGGGUGAGGUCUCCUUCUGUCUUUGUAAGGCGACAGUAGCAAGUUCCAGUGAUUGGCUCAAUCAUAUGGAACCUGCUAAAGCUUGAAGCAUGACUCAUCUGUUCAUUUGUAUCUGUUUGUUUUGUUUUGUUUUGUUUUUGAGACAAGGCUCACUAUGUAGUCCUGGCUGUCCUAGAACUCCCUAUGUGUGAUUAAUCCCACAGGUUGAGACUAUGACCACUCCUACAGUUUUGAGCCAGAUUUGAAGCAAGUUUAAUUAAAUGCUGGCCAGGAUGACGGACUCUGUCUGGCAAGGUGCAUUCUAGGGUCCCCAGAAAAUGGCUACGAUUUUGGCUCAUAUUAUGGAAAGGCUUAAAAAGACAGACUUAUAAGGCCACAGUAUGUCCCAUCAUGCCCAGUCAGGGGCAAAUGUACGUCCUGAGGUGUUUCCUGCCCACGUACCUCCAUCAAGCACACCUGCUGCAGUUGAGUCAAACACACUUGUUUCAGGAAGCAGAAGCACUUGUUAUCUGACAUACAUAAAUAGCCUCCAGCAUCUCAGGGAAUAUCUUUCUUUUGUAAGGGGCUUACAGCUAAGCGGCAUUUUUGCUUUAUGGAUCUCUUAGGCAAAGUAAUUAAAACUUAAAACUUUGGCUCAGGUUAGACUGGGCAGGCCUCGAACUCACAGAGAUCUGCCUGCCCCUGCCUCCCGAGUGCUGGGGUUAAAUGUGUGCAUCACCUCACCUCACUAUCUAUUUCCUUUUUAAGUGUCAUAUAGACUUCCUUCUAUGUCGGGCCUGGGAUAAACCAAGCCUGCCCUAGAAGCCUGAAAAGAACACUAUCGUUACGACAGGUUUAGACUAGUCGUAGGUAGCAAACAAGUGGUAGCUGUUACUGUCAUGUCACGUAGAGAUGACAUUUCCCUGUGCCGAUGUACAAUCUCUGAUGCCCUAGAGACUCACUCUACCUACUGAGUCCAAGGCAGACAGACCUGAGGGGAGAAAGGCGGUUUCUCCCGAGAUGACUGCACCAAUCCACAGCCUGCUGUUCUGGGUGGAUGCUGAGCAGAUGCCACUAUGUCCCCCAUUGGAGAUGGCAGUGGCAGAUGGGGCACAUUUGGACGACACUAGCCGUGACUUGUGCCAGUGAGGAGAUGCUGUCCCAUGAAGGGGGUGGGGUCUCAGCAGCCUGAAGACCUAGCUUUGAGCUGUAUUUCCCUGGACCACUGAAAGGCUGAUGUAGGUAGAAGAGUGGACUCUUCAUGGGGACCCUGAAGAGGAGGGGGGGCCUUCAUAGAAGACAGGAGCAGUGCAGUUUCUAAGGUUUACCACCCCCUUUGAAGCUUGAGGAGCUGGGCACACCUCACUCCAUGUUUUUUUAACCUUACCUCAGUGAGUCUCAAUGUAGGGAAUCACCAGACUGCAUAUGCAGCCUCCUAAAAAUACCUGUUCCCUAAAACCUGUCCCAGGCAGCUCAGAGCAUGGUAGGAGGCCCAGCCUCUUUCCCCAAACCCUCUUUUCCUUGAGUUCUAUGAGUAGGGCUCCCCCCCCCCAACCUCUCCUUUUGAGACAGAGUCUCAUAUAGCCAAGACUGGCCUCGACUUCACUAUGUAGCCUAGGGUAACCCUGGUGCCCAUCAUACAGGGCACUGGGAUUAUGAGUAUACAUAGCCACUUCCAGGUUUUGUGCCAUUGAGCCCAAACUCAGGCUCUGUGCUUGCCCAGCAGGCAUUCCACCAGUGGAGAAACAGCCUAGCCCUGCCUUUGCUCCCUUAACAAAGUGGCCCAUACACUGAGGAUGGCCUGGAUCUCUUUAGCCCCAUUGUGGGAAUCUCAGGCUUUUCCCACACAGUGGCACUAUGCCAGCUAGGAGUACAUCGCAACCUUUGCUAUGCCUCUAGUUCAUGUGUGGCCCUGUUUAUGCUAACCAGGCCCAUCUGGCAAGGACAAAGGCCCUUGCCACUGUGUUGUAGUGUUUCUUGACGCUUAGAUACUCAGUGCCAGGUGUCAGCCAUACCCUUUCCUCUUGCUCCAGGGGCACCGAGAAGCUCACAGGGUCCCCGGCUGCCUCUGACAACCCAUGAACAGGCCACGGAGUCAGUUCAGAACGAGCAAACCACUCACUAAGGACUCUGGACACUCUGGGUGGCAUUUCUGACACCCAGGGGCAUUGGGAGGCUCUGACAGUUACUGGUGGGGGCUGGGAGACAGGUAGAAGGAGAGGGAAAUACAUUUUUAAAGAUAACCUGGAGGCAAAUAUAAUAUUUAUACUUAUUUAUCCUCAGAGCUCACGCGCAAGGCCCCAGACAUGUCUAAUGAGCAGGAAUUGCAAAAUGGCCAUGGGUCCUACUUGUUUGCCUUUGCCGAGGCUCCUGGCAGUCACACGGACCCAUAUUUUUCAACUGUGCAACCGCUGCAGGCAAAACGGCUGUAAGGAACACCAGAGCUUGUAGCAAGUGUCUGACUCCCAGAGGCAUGGAACCACAAACCCAACCCAUGAAAAUGAGGUGCUCCCCUCCCUUCCCCUUCACAGAAUACAGGGUUUCCACACAUAUGCAUGCCCGAGCUCAGGGAGCUGACAUACAUAUGCACACAUACAUACGCACUGUGAAGUGCACUGAGACCUUCUGCAGCCUCAUGCCUCUUUCAGAGGCCCAUGGGCACAUCCCUGCUCAGCUCCAUACACACUGUCUGACAGGUGCAGCGUAGGGCACACUAGGGCAGGAUGUUUGAUCGCAACAGUCUUGUUCUGGUCAGGACUCGUAUGUGUUCUGGCUGUAGGUCAUAAGUGUGAUCUCCUGGGACAUCAAGAUGGCUCAGUCGGUAUGGGUGCUUGCCACCAAGCCCGAGUUCAGUAUUCAAAACUCAAGUGGUGGAGAGAGAAAGCCAACUUCUGUAAGUUGUCUUCUGACCUCCUAUGUGCCACAUAUGAACACACACGCACACACACACACAACACACACACAGAGUAAAUAUAUGAAUAUAAAAAUAAACAUGAUGCCUUAUGUAUAUAAUCAUGAUAAAGAGAUUAAAUGGAAGGGAAUGACAUUGACUUUCCUGUAUGGUUAACUUUAACUCAAGUAGCCAUGCAGAGCAUCUAUAUGUAUAACUAUAUAAAUACAUCUACGGAUACAUAUGCAUACAUUCAAACAGAAAAAUAUAUGGUUAUAAAUAAAUGUGUGCAUAUGCAAAUGCUGCACAAUUAGACUGGGGUUGGCUUCUGGGCCAUACUCUUGGGCACAGAUGAAGCCCUUAGCUGUGGGGACUGCAUCUGCCCUGGCCAGGUCCUGAGUCCUCAGGCUGGGUCAGGCUUACUGCUAUGCCUGUUGAAAUCAUCGCUACUCCCUGUGUAGCGCUUAGCACAGUUGUUGUCUGAGCGUUGUCUGUGAUGAUGCCUUUCCCAGGCUGUACAGAGCGAGGGCUCAGCAUUUACUAAGGAGGUUCUCAGUAAAGAGGCAGGUGGCUGAAGUCAGGACCCCUCUCUGUUGUUGUGUGUCCUUUCUGUGUCCUCUGACCAUCAAGUGGGCACCAGGAGGCACGUUUCUUUCAACGCCAACAGCAGUGAAAGCCCCGGCUCUGUCUGAAAUGUGCAGCAGAGAACACAAGACCUACUGCAGUUUCUAACAAGGUGAUCUCAGACUCUGGGCUGCUGGCAGCCUGGGUAACUGGGAAACGGCAUCUCUCCACACAGACUCCUGUUUACUUUAACUGGUUGCUAGCUGGUAAUGGUUGGUGCUGUUUAGUGGUGGUGUUGGGGAACUGUAGGACUUUUAGGGGCCAAAGCCUAGCUGUAAGAAGCCAAUCUUUUCAGAGCAGGCCUUGAGGGUGAUAGCCUGGCCCUAAUUCUUGUCUCAUCUCUGGCCUUCAUGAUGUGAAGCUACCUCAAUGCUCCAGCCAACAGAGACAAAGUGGCUCUCACCACCAUACCUUCCCCAGCCCCCUACCCCCCCCCAUGAUGCACUAUACCCCCUGAGCUGCUUCUAAAGAGAAAAGGAACUCACAUACCCUGCUCACAUGAGGUGAAUCACUUUCUUAUGAGGUUGGAUGUUUAUGCCCACAGGGUCAGUCUAUAGCUCUGCCUGGGUUCAGUGGGAUGAUUUUCUUGCAUGUAGGACAGUCACCGGGAGUGGGGGACCCUGGCACAAUCUCCCUUUUCCUUUUCUUUGGGAAUUUUGGGAGAAAGACUCCCAUCAAAUCUCAAGAGUUGAUGGGAAGCAAGGAUCAUAACAGCAAGGCCCAAACAGUGACUAUUUACACGCAGAUGCAGGUAUCGUUUUCCCCUUCCACAUUUCCAGGGCUCAGUGCUCCUACAAGGAGACAGGAAGCAGAGAUGGGAGAAUCUCUAUGAACUUGUGGUCCCUGAUGUAUGCUGUGGGAAACAAAACAACCUAAAGGCUGGGUCUCAAGCAAGGUGGAAGGCAAGGACCAACACCUGAGAAUGUCCUCUGACUUGCACCACUUAUGCCAUGUCAUGUGUUUUGUAUGCCCCCAUCACAUCCCCCUCUUUCAAUCUCUCAAUCUGUCUCUCUCCAUCCCUCUCUCCUCUUCCCUUCACCUCAAUAUUUUUCUUUUCCUCCCCCUCUCAAUCUCUUUCUCUCAUUCUCUUUCUCUCUCUCUCUCUCUCUCUCUCUCUCUCUCUCUCCCUCUCUCUCUCUCUCUCUCUCUCUCUCUCUCUCUCUCUCUCUCUCUCUCUCACACACACACACACACACUGGGGCCAUUGAACUCUGUCUUCAGAACAAUUGGUCCCACCACUGAUUAAAUCCUCAGACCUGCCACCUAGUCACCCCUGCCCUCUCUCCUAUUCCUACCUCAGCUUUUCUUAUGCCUGUUAUUUUGAGGGAUGUGGGGGUAAUGUCACGUCUGUAUCUCACUGAAUAUGGGGUUAGCUCGUGUAACAGGGAAGAAUAUAGGUAAGCGAGGUGCUACAAUGGCUAAAUUUGUUCCAGGAGCGCAUUUGUUACUUUUGUGUCACUGUGAGGAAACACCUGGUGGAAAUAACGUUCAUGAGGAAAAGGUCUAUCGUGGCUCAGGGAUUCUGGAGAGCUCAAUGCUUCCUCUCAAGGAAGGCAGGGCAGGGCAGCUCCAUCUAUGGUGGCAAGAGCGUGAAGUAGCUGGUGUUCCUGUGGUGGUAGACCAGAAAGCCGAAACAGCCAGCUGGGAUAAGUGUCAGAGGCUUGUCUCUAGUGACAGUCAUACUCCCAACAGCCAGGUUCCCUCUUCGAAAGGCUCCACUGCCCAAAACAUAGGUCUACAAGCUGGGGACCAAGCACUUAAAACGAGAGUCUGUGGUAAUGUUCUGGAUUCAAACCAUACCAAGCCAAAAGACAGCUUUUAGCAAAACUUCCUGAAGGCAUCCUGACAUUGUGUGGCUGGAGCAUCGUAGGGCAGUGAAAGAGAGUUUGGGGGCGGGGCAGUCAGUUGGAGAAAUAUCUGUUAAAAAAGGGCCAUGAGUCUCUUUGACUUGAGGACUCUCAGCCCCUGAGGUAUUAAUAUCAUUUGGGAAUCUCUGAAAGAGAGCUGAAGUCCAUAGUUUUUUAGUUUGUUCCACUUGGGAACCUGGCCCAGCCCUUGCAGCCCAGAUGUUGCUGUGAUUUGAGCCCACCAUGGUCGGUCGGUCAGACAACUCUUCUCUUACCCUUCUGCAGGCAGGAGUGGGUGGUGGCUGCUUUGGAGCCUAUAGAAGAGGAACCGAAGGAAACUCUUGCACCAGGGACCUAAAGCUCAUGCGGGGGUGGGGGUGGGGGAACAAGAGUGGUUUGUCUCAAGGGACAAGUGUCCAUGUGAUCACCUCCCAGUGAGCCUCACAGGCCGGUUUCUGGCUCCAGCUUUCCACAGGGACAGGGCUCCUUCUUGAUGUCUGGGGAGCUGACCUUUUCAAGAGGCCUACUAGGGGAAGUGGGUCUCCAGCUGGGCCCCUGACCCUCUGCCCUCUCCGGUUUGCAGCCCUUGGGGGCAGGACUCUUUGCAAUGGUGACUCAGCCCUUGGCCAUGGGUGGCCGGGCUGCAUUGGCUAGGCGGGGUCCCUGCAGCUGGCUGAGCUCGCUUCCGGCCAGUCUGGGUCCUGCACUUUCUCCCUUCACCCUUGACUUUUAAUUUUGGAAAUCUUCAAACCUAUGGACAAGUUUGGAAGAAUAGUGACAUUAUUACCCAUGAAGCCUGUUUGCAGAGUCUGUUGAAACUUUGCUACAUUGUUACAGCCGGCUCUUUUUGAUAUAGUAUUUCCAGGUGAGUUUGGAUAUUGUGGCUCUCAUCUCCAAAUACUCCUGAUGACCCUAAGAAUAGGAACAUCCUUUACAGUCAUAAUGUCUCGUGUGAGAAGAUCAACAGCAGUUCCAAAGGAGCGCUCGAGUUCAGUCGUCUUUCUCAACUGUUCUAAAAUAAUGUUUUAUAUCUUUUGUUUAAAUAAUUUGAACUCUGGGCUGGGAGGAUGGUUCAGUGCUUGUUACGCAAGCAUGAGGACCUGAGUUCAAUCCCCAGAACCUAUUUAAUAAAAGGUGGGUAUGGUGGUGACACUUUGUAAUCCCAGGGAUGGGGAGGUGGUGACAGACAGUUCCCUGCUUGUGGGACAGCCAGCUUAGCCUACUUGAGCUCCAGGCCAGUGAGAGAACCUGUCUGAAAAAAAUGGUGCCUGGGGCUGGAGAGAUGGCUAUGGCUUCAAAGUGUUUACUGCUCUUUUAGGGAACUUCCAGUCAGCUCCCAGCACCCAAGGCAGGUAGCUCACAAUCACUUGUAAUUGCAGCUCCAGGGGAUAGACACCCUCUCUGGCUUCCACACAUACCUGAACACAUGCAGCAUCCACACACAGACUUAAAUAUACACAUGAAUAAAAAUAAAAUAAAAUAAAAAUAAAAAGUAAAAACAAAAAUAAAAUAUAUCUUUAGAAAUUAUUUUUAAAAGGUAGAUGAUACUUAAGGAAUGGUUACACUUGAGGUUGUACUCUAGUCUCCUCACAACAUGCAUGCACACAUGCAGCCUUACAUAUGAACAACUGCAUGUACAUGUACAACCUCAUACGUAUGGAAUAUCUGUGUGCAUACAUGCAACCUUACACAUAUAAACGUGUGUGUAUAUGUGCGACCUCACACAAAUGAAUGUGUGCAUGUAUGUGCAUAGCUUCAUAUAUAUGAACAUGUAUGUAUACACACAUGGCCUUGCACAUAUGAACAUGUGUGUGCCUACAUGGUAGCUUCUACAUAUGAAUGCAUGUGCCUACAUGCAGCUUUAUACAUGCAUGUAUGCAUGCACACGUGCAGCCUCACACAUAUGAAUAUGUGUAUGCACACACAUUAGAACUAGCAUCUUCCCAGGUAAUACUUCUUUAUGUUUUAUGUUUUAUCUUUUAAGAAUAACCCUCUUACCUUUUUUUUUUCUUACCAUAUUUAACUUUUGAAAGCUAUAGGCCUUUUGGUUUGGUACAGAUCUCCUGUUAAAUUUACUGACUUGUUUUCUCCUGGUAAAAUUUAACUUGCUCCUCAACCCCUGAUUUUGUCUUAAACUGGUUAGUCCUAGUUGUCAGUACCUGGCUGCUGAGGCUGUGGGUGGACAAGCUGCACAAGGUCCUGGGCGUUUGGGUGGCCAAUGUUGCUGUGCACCAGGACUGUGCCCAAACUUAUUGAACUCUUCCUUCCUUCCUUCCUUCCUUCCUUCCUUCCUUCCUUCCUUCCUUCCUUCCUUCCUUCCUUCUUUCCUUUUCUGAGACAGAUUAUGCUAUGUAGCCCAGGCUAGGCUGCAGCACCUGCUCCUUCUGCCUCAGCCCCAUACAGUCUUAGAUUACAGCAUGUGCUCCCAGGCCUUGAUCUUUGAACUUCCUUGAUGUACAACUUGAAAACAUGACAGAGAUUUAAUAAGAUCACCUGCUCUAUGCCAGCCCUUUGAGGAACUUCUUGGAAAAAUAUCACUUACUUGUGUGAGUGUGUGUGUGUGUGUGUGUGUGUGUGUGUGUGUGUGAGAGAGAGAGAGAGAGAGAGAGAGAGAGAGAGAUGCAUGGGGGUACACAUGCCAUUGCAUGCAUGUGGAUGUCAGGGGACAACUUUGUGGAGUCAGUUUUCUCCUUUUGCCUUUUUGUAGAUUCCAGGGAUUGAACUUAGGUCACCAGGCUUGCACGGCAAGCACCUCUACUUGCUAAGCCAUCUCGCUGGCCCCCUUGGCAGAGUAUCUUAUCUGGACCCACAAAAAAACAUUUUGAGGAAAGGGUAUUUACUUUAUAGCUGAAAAGCUGAGGUUCAGAGGUAUCAAGGUGGGAAAAGAAAUUAAAUUUUUUUUUGUUUAUUUUUUGAGAUAGGGACUCACUACAUAACCCUGGCUGUCCUGGUACUUUCUGGAUAGAUCAGGCUGUCCUCAAACCCACAGAGACCUGCCCACUUCCAUCUCCUACGUGCUGGCUGUAUGAGCCCUCUACCACUCAGUUACAUCUUGGCUCCUCGUAACCUUCCCCCGAGACCCUUUCCUCCCCAGAUUUUACAUGUGCAUUCCCUUCCGGUGCCCCUCACCUUUGCACCCAGUACCUUUUGCUUCUUUGAGGUUGUUUAGCCUGGAUGCCUCAGCACCCCACGUUAAUUUAUUCCCAGAUGCCCAGCUCCAGUGCGAUCUUGCAGAAUCUGCUCCCAGCUCAUCUCCAUCCAAACGUAGCCUCACUGGCUUCAGGUCCUGUGCUUGCACCACCGUCUCAGUAUUCGGUCCUGUGUGCUGCACAAGCUUUGCUUGUAGCUGGUAGAGCAAGCUCGCAGGAGUCAAGGGCUCAAACCCCAGGCCCUUCAUACCCCUCUGUGACCUUGCGUGUAUCAAUUCACCUGAAACGUCAUUUCCUUCAUUUCUAAGGGAGAGACGGUUGGGAAGGUCAAGAUGUCAUGAUGCUUCCGAAUCCAAUGGUGCCACUGUAGAGCCCUCGGCAGGGCGAAAGGGAGCCCCUGGCAGACUCUGAGGCCCUGCUAGUUGGAUUUCCUUCCCAGACCCGCAACCUGACACAGAACAGCUGUGGAUGUCCUCAGGGUCAUUUCCCCCAAAUACCAAACGGGUCCCUGCAGAUGCCACAGACCUGGGGCUUGCCUGCGUUUUUUGGCAUUUCUUCAUCACCCCCUCGGUGUGGGGCAAGACUUGGCUGGGCCCACAGCCAGCAAUAAAGCGGAUGCUAAUCAUAUCAUUAUAUGCUGAAUAAUUAACUGUCAUUUAAAUAUUCAUAUGUUGUUGGGGGCAAGGCCUUUUAUCAGUAUCUGGGGACAUGUCAGCAGAGGAAAGAGAUGGAUGUCGCCAAGGCUGACUCCGCCUGUGAAGGGCGACCUGGGGUCCAGGGAGAGCCAUUGCAGUGGUCACCAGACAGUCAGCUAAUAUAUAACUGCAAUAUUCUCACGUGAUAAACGGCAACUUCAUAAACGCUUGAUGCAUAUGAGCAACCCUAAAACAAUAUUGGAAGCAUUAAUUUCAUUUGACUAAUGCUUAUCUAUAUUUUAUUCUGUUGCCAUCUCUAAAGAAGCCCCUCUUUCCUUCAGGGGAAGGGCGGUAGGGCUGGAGGGCCACUGAUGGACGACAGCAGCCAAGGGGGGCACUUUCCGUUAGCCCUGCCUUUAAGAUGACGAGAUUUGGGACUGGCUCUGAGCUUUGAAGACCUGUCUGAGAGUCUGUGUGAAAUCCUGCCUGAGUCCCUGUCGGGGAACUCAGCCUCUCUGGUGGCAUUACAGGAGAGUGGCAUGGGUAUCUCAGGCUUGGCCAGGUAAAGCAAAGUUGUAUAGGUGCCCUCUUGCUGUCAUGGAGGAAUCAAGAGGGGAGGCCUUGAAGACAGAAGUAUAGUCAGGUGGGGAGUAUUAUGAAGUGACUCUUCUAUAGUGGGGUGUGGGUGGUUGUGGUGGUUUGAAUAUGCUUGGCCCAGGGAAUGGGACUAUUAGGAGGUGUGACCUUGUUGGAGGAAGUCACUGUAGGAGUGGUCUUUUAGACCCUCCUUCCAACUAUGUGGGAGUCAGUCUUCUCUUGGUUGCCAUUGGAACAAGAGGUAGACCUCUCAGCAUCUCCAGCGCUAUGCCUGCCUGGAUGCUGCCAUGCUUCCUGCCAUGAUGAUAACGGAUUGAACCUCUGAACCUGUAAGCCAGCACCAAUUGAAUGUUGUCCUUGUAAGAGUUGCCUUAAUCAUGGUUUCUGUUCACAGCAGUAAAACCCUAACUAAGACAAAUAGGAAGGGACCCGGAGGAGAGAAAGGGAACAGAGGGAGGGUGUGAAGGAACACGAAAGCCAAGAGGGAGAGAACGGCACCUGGAGGUCUGGUGAUGGGUGAGCUGGCUGUUCUGGAGGAGCGAAGCAGCUUGGUGGGGGGGGGGGUUAGUAACAAUGGUUCUAGAAUUGGAUAGCCAUGGGCUGGGCUCUAGCUGUGCCAUUAACUAGCUGUAGGACUCCUGGAUCCUCUUUUUUUAACCCUCAGUUUCCACUUGUGUAAUAGGAGCCACUGUGCUUCAGGGGUGGGCUGAUGACUUAUCGGGUUGCUCUUCUGGGGUCUCACAGAGCUCCAUCAAAUGUCAUCGAUUGGGAGGCUCAAAUUGUGGGUGGUGGUAGAGGUGAUGUCGGUGGCAAUGUCAGUGGUGAUGGUGGUAAAGUUGGGAGGCGAUGGCAGUGGGAAUGGUAGUGGUGACAUUGUUGAUGGCAGUGGUGAUGGUUGUGGUGAUGUUGGAGGCGAUGGUGAUGGUGGUGGCGGUGGCGAUGGUGGUGGCCGUGGUGGUGGUGGUGGGUGUCUGCUUUCAAGAACUCUCUGCAGUUUGCUGACUUUUGUUUCCUUUCAGGAUCUGACGCUGGCUGGUUGUCUGCCAAGGAGACCCUCAAUUCUGAGUGGCCCAUGGUCACUGGCCCUGGGAAUUUCUUCAGCAUGGCUGCUGACUACAUCAAGCAAGAACCUGUUCCUAAGACAGAGCUUAUAUGAUACAUAGUGAUCAUGAAGUAUGGAGGGACACUGUCACCUUUCCAGGUUUACUAAUGAGUGACAGGUUCUGCUAACAUAUAUGGGAGGGGAUAGUACAGGGGUAUGAAUACCAGGGGCCUGGGUUGCUGAGUGACCCUCAAGCCUUUACAUCAUAUCUGACAAGGUUAGCAGUGAGUGCUCUCAGUACCAGGUACUCACGGUCCCUGCGUUUUGUGAACUUUCUCACCUGACCCACAGAAUAACCCAAGAAGAGCAGUAACUGCCCUCACUGUACCAAUGGAGGAAUGUGAGGUCAAGGAUCCUGGUAGGGGUUCAACAGGGGAAGGCAGGAGCACUGUGGAAUUGGUCAUAGACACCAUGUGAUCCAACACCCAGGGUUGCCAGUGAAGACAAACCUCAGAAGACUCUCAGGACAUGCCCUGGCCCUGUUCCACUUUGCCAGGACACGUGACAACACUGGGUCAUGCAGGUGACUCCAGGACAAGCUCUCUGUGGUAAAGCCAACAGGUUAGCAACUCACUUCACCCACAGCCUUAAUUCCCCAUGGGCCAAGUGACAUAGCAGGUUCUCGGUGUCCAAGAUAAGGACUCUAGUAUCAUCUGCCUAGUGUCUCCUGUCAGUUAGUUCUUCUGUCUGUCGUGCUACCAGGGGCUUAUGGGUUGGAUGCUACGGCUCCUGUCCCAGGCCACCCUUUACUUCCCCAUUAGCCAUCCUUAGCUCUCUCCAGAGCCUGGAGCUCACACUAGAGAGCCAAGCAAAAUGUAAAUUUAUUCUCCGGAUAUGAAAUAAUGAGAAAGGGUAAUACGUGGAAAAGAAAGAAAAAGGAAGGAGAGGGAAGAAAAAGAUAAGGGAGAGAAGAUGCAAGUUACAUUUAUACAUUUUAAAGCUCUGUGCUGGCCCAUAGGCUGUCAGUUUGUUCCUAUUAGACCAAGCUCCCGGACAUGAGCUGAAGUUGAAGCUACAGAGAUAUCAGUCAACACGUUAGCAUUGGGCCAUCAGUGUCAUGUCCCUGAGCAUGCCGAACAGGUCCUCUCCAGGAUGGAGUGUCUAGAACUGGAGCCUGUAUCCUAUGGCCCUUAGCAGUAUGUCUUGUACAAUACAAAAGUGACACACAUUCUACGGCCCUGUCCUGCUGUCUCACACAGCCUGCGACACAAAGCACAAAUCCAGGGAGCGUUGCUUGUUGAAUGUGUAAUUGAAUGAAACCCAGGGCCUUUCAUUCACUCCGCGUCCUGCUCAGGGAUCUGUGACCUCCUUCAGAGCGCUUGGCUCUUCAUAACGGGCUCCGGCCACAGGCACAGUGGAUGAGGUAUGCAUGAGUGUGAGCAUCAAUUACGGGCUUCACUGACCUGGAACCCAAAAUGAGAGCCUGUGCAGGAAGUGACCAUGGCCUGGGCUGGAAAGGCCAGGUCAGGGAGAUGAACCAUGGGACUUCUGGCCUGCCCUUGCAGCUGCCCCGGCUGCUUCCUUCCCAUUCUCUCCCCCCAACCCCCAGCCCCAUGCAUUCGAGAUUCCCGGGAGGUCGAGCCUGGUGUAAUUACAGGGUAUCUGCUACCUCCCUAUAAAUCUAAUAGACUUUUUGGCCUUGUCAGAUUAAAACUUACCUAUCAACCCGCCGCAGUCCUCUAGAUCUCCCUAAAUCUGUACUUGGGAGAGAAUUUAUGGCCAGGAAUUGCAUUUUGCAAAAUGAUUAAAGUUGCCAAACAGCCAUAAAAAGUUGCAGGAGGAGAUAUGGUUUUUUUGAAAGUCUGCUUAAUUUAUAAGGGGUGGAAGGUUUAUUGUCAUUUAGAGUCCAAAGCCUGGCAGCGAUGGAGCGUUUGGCGGCAGCUGUGCACAGCUGCUCUUGCUUUAUGCCUUUUACAUGUUUUUAAAUUGCCCUGUUUGAAUCUGCAGCCGCCGAAGCAUCCCGGUUUGCAGAAGGGUGGUUCCUCCUGCCCUCUGACACUGGCAGGAGACUGCCCUACUCCCCAAACGACCCGACUCACCUUCCAGAAGUGUUCCUGGCUGAUCCAGUCUCACGCUGACUACUCCAUGCCUUCCGGUCACUGUCCAGCCCCUGUGAAACACCAGCAAGCACUCACGUGUGCAAAGCUUUUAAGUUUAUAGGCGGGUUUCGCAUGCCGUGUCUUAAUACUUGUCUCCCUGGAUUAAAUGAUUAAACAAGAUCAAACACUCGGGGCUCUAAACGCCUGGUGUUACCUCUUGAGCUGAUAAAUAGAAUUAGGGCUCCCAUUUAUUGACCACAUGUGAGAUGCCAGGCCUCUCUGCUCCACGCUCCUAGCACAUUAAUUCACAGAAUCUUGGCUGCCACUGUGGGAGAUAGCUGUCAGUUGUACCUGGGCUUUGGGAAGUGUGAAGAACUUAAGGCCAAGGUCAUGCAGUCAACACUCGUGCACAUUAGCUAACAGUUAGUAAUGUCAUUAGGGCAAGCGUCUCACUUGUCUGUCUGGAGGGCUGGCACAGAGCAGGCCAUGGAUGGAUCCUGUUGAGGAUGAGCCUGCAUGCCUGCAUGACCUGAGCUGUCCCAGUUGCUGUUUCUCAUCCCCGCCCUCUUCUCUUUCUCCUUACAGGCAUCAGACCCUGGAUCAUCCGAAGUCUAACUUAGCGCUCAGGCUGGUGUCUGACAUAUUCUUGAUUCACUGGAACGAGGACUGAAUACUGUCAGUCCCAGCAGUCCUCUGAGGAUGGUUUUAGGAACUCCAUCCUGCAGGAGGGAGGGGCCUGAGAGUGUGUGACACCUGCUCAAAUAACAGUGUCAGAGCCAGGAUUUUGGAUUCUGAGGCCCGAGUUUUUGUUUCGUUGUUUUGUUUUCUCACCAGCGGCCGCCCACCUAGCCACCUGGCAGGCAUUUGGGGGAGAUUCGGAAAUGUUUCCUCUUUGCUGCCAUCCUGUCUAGUAUCUGUGAAACACCCAUCACUCACCAGCUGCAGACAUUCUCCAGAAAGCUUCAGAACACCCUCGCAAAGGUGUCUGCUAUUGCCCCCAUUUUACAGAUGUGGAAGCAGGUUGAAGGAGGCUUCCUAGUAACUGACUGAGCUGCUUCCCGAGGUAAG